rnacentral:lncRNA from 1 species
GUAACUCUCACAAUUGUAUUACAAUCCCGCUCUAUGUACUCGUUUCUUUUCCUGUUGGUUGGCACUAUGACCUGGCAAAAGAAGAAAAAAUAAAAAUAAGGAAACAGGUCAAUUGUUUGAACAGGCCCAAAACAAAAGCAAACCGUUGCCUCUUUUUCCCUUUCAUUCUCCCACCCCCAAACACAGAGAAACCCCUCAUAGGCGAAACAAUAGUUCGAGGACAACGAAGCUGCACUCCUCCGUCUUGACCUUAUUAAGAAGCUCGUGGUUGAUGUUGUGAUCAUCCGUCGAUCAGUCGAACGGUGGGUAAAUCUUUUAUUUUUUCUCAGUUCCAUGUUUGAAACGGAAGAUUGAUUUUUAUUUAUUUAUUUAUUUACUUUUGUUUUGUUUGGAAUUCUUUGUUUCUUCCAUACUUAUAUACUGCAACUUUUAAUUUGAUGAGUUGCUUUGAUUUAUGAGUUAUUUUUGGGAAUCCAUGAGUGUUGAAUUUGGUGAUUUAUCAUUUUGAUUUAAUUAGUAAGGAAGGCGAUUUUUUCCCUUUUGGAAGUUUCCUUAUUGUUUCAAUUCGGUCUCCUUCCCUUUUUAAUGAACGAGUAAAUAAUGUUUUCAAGUAGUAGAAAUUUUUGUCAAACGCUGUUGGAAGGAAAAAAUGAAUGGAUUAUGAGAAAUGAUAAUUUGUGGAUUUUACAUUGGUGAGUGGUUGUUGUCUAAUGUAGCACAACCGGUCUUUCGCUUGUAUGUAGGAUGGUAGGAAAGAAUUUUGGAUGUUAUCAUAGCUGUAGAGAGAAGGUGCACUUCUUCGCUAAUUGCCCAAAGAAACGACAAUGCUCAUGGUGUAAAAUUGGAUAUGUGAAGUGCUUUGAGGUUGAGAGGGAAAUGAAGAAUAAGAGAAAAUUGUUCAAUUGCUGAACUGCUGACUGUAAAUACUGGGAAUGGGUUGACGUGGGAGAAUCGAGUAGCGGAUUGAGUACUAUUGUUGUUGACUCGAAUAAUCAGGUGGCACUUGAAGAAGUCCAGCAGUUCUCUAUGAUGUUCCAGUCCCUUUGUUGGGUAACCGAAGAACAAAAUAUUGAAAUUUCUUUGAACGUGACAAUAAGGAAGGCCAAUGGAAGUGCGGGAGUGGAUAAGAAAGGGAAGGGCCGGCAAGAACACGAUCUUUUUCUUAGGAUGCAUCGCUACCACCUUUGAUGUGCAAUAUGUGUUGUGUUAUGUGGAGUUGAUGUGUAAUAUGUGUUAUGUUGUGUGAACAAAUCAUUGUAAUGUACUCGCAUUUCAUGUUUCAACAGUUAUGUGAAUGAUGUUGGUGUGAAUUUUAGUGGAUUGUAGUUUGUUUUCUUCAUUAUGUUACUGGAAUUGAAUAUGAAAUUUCAAUUAUGUACCAGCAAUUUUUCUUUAACAAAACUUCAAUAUUCGAAGCCUGCAAACAUAUAGUAGAAUUGAUGAUCAACAUAUUCAAUAAAUAUAGUAGAAUUGUAUACGGCAACAUCAUGUCAUAAGAACAUAGAUACAAAAUAUUGUCCCGCCAAAAUAACAUUAGGAUCUCUUCUUCUUCUCCUUGUCUAACUACUACACAUUUCCUUUUACCAACACAACUUUACCAGCCUUUCGCUUACCGCCAAAAUCAAUUGAAAAUGCCCAAACUCAACAUCUCCAAUCUUGAGGAGGGUAUGCAGUUGGAGUCUGUGAAAUGGUAGUUUAACAAUGUAAGCAAAAAACUUGCACCCAACAUGUAAAAAUAGUGAUAAAUAGAUUGCAAGGUAUACCAUAGUUCGUUUGGCAGACAAGAUUGUUGAUAAACAAUGAAAUCAAAUCCCAACGUGUUCAAAAUCUAUAAAGCUACCAAGAUUUGUU